rfam:Triticum aestivum genome assembly, contig: Triticum_aestivum_CS42_TGACv1_scaffold_343583_4DL
CUACUUACCUGGAUGGCGUCCAUGAGUGAUCAAUAAGGCUCAUGGCCUAGAUCAAUGGCUCACUUUGCACUUUGUGAGUGCGUUGAUCUAUCAUCUCAUUUUUGCGGGAGAGUGAACGUCGUAGUUUGUGAUAGAGGGGAUAUGCAUUCGCGCAGCCCCUAC